GCCGUCCGGGGGCCGUGGGCGAGGUGCGCUCGCCCCGCCGAAGAGCACACGUCGCCUCGCGCAUGCUCCUGCCGACGCCGGUGACGACGCGCGCGAGGGGCGCGGGGCGGGGACGCGCGCCGCCCGGAUUCUAGGUCUGGGCUGGGACCGGCCCUGGAACCGCUUCCUCUGCGGGUCGCACAGCCCCUCCGGCUGGCUCCUCCCCCGCCUUUGCCCUCGACGUCCCUCCCAGCUGAAGAGCCCCGCGCAUCGCGUUAGGGGAUGGUGAGCAGGCGCCUCCGUGGCCGCCAGCCCCUCCGACAUGCUACCGGGGUGGCCACCAGCGCCGCGGACAUGCUACCGGGGUGGCCACCAGCCCCACGGACAUGCUACCGGGGUGGCCACCAGCCCCACGGACAUGCUACCGGGGUGGCCACCAGCCCCACGGACAUGCUACCGGGGUGGCCACCAGCCCCACCGACAUGCUACCGGGGUGGCCACCAGCCCCGCCGACAUGCUACCGGGGUGGCCACUUGCCCCACCGACAUGCUACCGGGGUGGCCACCAGCCCCACGGACAUGCCACCGGGGUGGCCACCAGCCCCGCCGACAUGCUACCGGGGUGGCCACCAGCCCCACGGACAUGCCACCGGGGUGGCCACCAGCCUCACCGACAUGCUACCGGGGUGGCCACUUGCCUUGUUCCAGUCAAAGCCCGGCUCACCCGUUCGCCCCACAGUCCAGUGUUUCAGUGUAGAAUAGACUCUAGUCUUACAGUUUGCCUUCCUUCUUCCGCUGGUUUUAUUACACUAACUAAAGGGACCCUGAUGGCGUGUCACCCUCGUGGUGCAUUUCCCCCCAGUUAGUCGUACACUCGGGUUGCACGCAUGAGCAAUCUAAAAGGAAUUUUCAAAUUCAGCCUUUCCACAUGACCUCAUGUGGAGACGCAUCGGCAAGGUCACCCACCCCCACCGUGUGAAAUCACUGCCUCUCGACAGUCGCCUGGGAAACGAUGAGGCCCUUUUGGCGGCCAAUCGGGGCAGACUCAGAAAUACUCCCCUGGAGAAAGCACCUUUUUAAAAUUAGCUGAUCACGACAUCAUUCUGAUGCCACAUCUCCAGCCAACCCAUUAGCAAAUAGUUGAGAACCUGCCGUGUCCAGUGCUGGGCAAAGCUCUGUGGCACGUGCAAUAGAAACACUUUUUCUGGAGAGGAACCUCAAUCAAACGGGAGGAGCAAAGCUGAUGCAUAAAACCAUUGGGGAGCAGUGAAGAGCAGACGUGUGCUGGCUUUCUAUUCUGUUGUAGGAUAUAGUUCUAGUCGGCUUUCAGUUACUUCUCACACUCAGAUGCCUCCCCCGUCCCCCUUUUAAUGAAAGAAGCCUUUCGGAGUAGCCUUCCUAUGUUUUCUUGUUUUACCAGUCCUUGUAGAUAUGAACUACUAAAACCAGGUUUUUCUCUUUCUUAAGAGGUUUUUCUAGCCUCAGUUUAACUUCGAGAUCGUUUUCAUGAAAGAAGCCAGGCCAUGUAAGAGUUUCCCUAGAAUACAUCUUUUUCUAGCAACAAAAAUCUUUUCUAUAUAUUUUUUUCCUAGCUUAUCUCGCAAAUUCUUUUUUUCUCCCUGCAUUUUCCUAGUCACCUACUGGGCACCUCUGAGUGGGCGCCCUUAUUCGUGUCGCGAUACCGGCCAGACUCGGGCCAGGGGGCGGGAGCGGGGAUCUCGAGCCAUAUGGUGCGUUAAGGUUAGCCACCGGCCAAGCCGCGGGUCGGGGCGGUGCCCACCCUCCCGACCCAUCGGGGCCGCCGCGGGACGGGAACGGGGGUCCCGAGGAAGGCGAGGCGGGCGGGGGCGGCCCUUCCCUCGCUCCCGCUCCCCCGACCGCGCGGUCCACGCUUCCCGGGCGCUCGGACACGCGUGGGCGGGCCAGGACCUGCGACAUGGACCGGGCAGCUCGGGCGCUGGCUCGGAUCGGCCAGGAACCCGCCCGGUCACCCCGAUCCGCCCCCGGACACGCCCCCCUUGAGGUCACUGCUUCGGCGCUCCGAGUGCGGAAGGAAGCGCCGGGGCGGAGGCGGAGAACCCACGUGGCUCCGGGUGGGGGUCGGUUUUCGUCAGGGUGGCUUGGCCUCUAAAAGACUGAAGCAAAUAUACUUUAAAAAAAAAAAAAAAAAAAGCUCUUUUCCCCUGACCCUAUGUUUUGAACAUAAUCCUAAUCCAUAAUCAUUUCCCCCCACGACUUUAGAGCAGACACAGUAUGCCUUUUAAAUGUUAAAACGGUAACAGUAACAUUGUUGAGACUUGUCAAUGUGCUUUUGGGUCAAAAACCUAAGGUCGAACUUUCCUGAAGAUUUUUCUUAAAGCUGCUCAUACUAUUUAGAGUAGCAGACUGUUAAAAUACACUGUAGAGACCAUAUGCAAGACCCUAAUUUUUUUUUAAAAAAAGGAUUUUAGUUAUUAAUUUGCUUAGUAAACGGGUAAACACUACUAGUUCUUUGAUAUCUGUAAUUUUGAUUCACCAAACAUUUUCAGUAUUGGCUAAUUACUCUAUUGGACCUAAUUUAAAGCAGCUUUAAGUAAUUACAUUUUGCUGUGGUUUGCCACGUUUUCAUCUUGCCUGUGCCAAUUAAAAAUUAUGUUUUAAGCCCAGCCCGCAUAACUCAGUGGUCGACCUAUGAACCAGGGUGUCAGGGUUUGAUUCCUGGUCAGGGCACAUGCCUGGGUUUCGGGAUCCUUCCCCUAGUGUGGGCCGUGUGGGAGACAACCGAUCAAUGAUUCUCUUUAAUUGAUGUUUCUAUCUCUCCUUCUCCCUUCCUCUCUAAAAUCAAUAAAAAAAUAUUUUUAAAGGAUAUUUUAGAAUAUGAUUAAGCCAAGGAAUAUUUGGCUUGAGAAUCCAAGUAAAAUGGUACUUCACUGAGUGUGCCGAGCACUAUUCUAACAUUUGCAGUAUUUAAUGUAACCCCACUACCCUCAUUUUGCAGAUGGAGGGACAUGUAAGGCAAAUGAUAGCUUAUGCAUCAUAAGCAAAUGCAGACAUAUUAUUUUUCAAAGUUUUCCCUUUUUUUGCACAAAAUGGUAAAAUACAAUAUAUGACCUUGCUUUUUUGACUUAAUACUUCUUGGAGAUCUUUAUUGUGAGUACAUUAGGACCCAGUAUAGCAGCUUUGGAACCCAGGAAUCUGACCAGAGAGCUAGUCCUAACUUUUUCUAGCAGGUCUAAGUAAUAGCAUUGAAAUCAGGAAAUCAGGCAUUCGGUUCUAAUGCUUACAGAGCUGUGAUAGCCAGUAGUUCUUGGUUUCUCAGUGCAUCUGUAACAGGGCUGCUUGUGAUUCAACCUCAGUACCUACCUCACAAUUCUAAUGUCAUGCAUGACAUGAAAUCAUAUGGGGGCACUCAGUUAUCUAGUUAAAAUUGUGUUUCUAAAGCUUUUUCGACAACAUCUGCUCUCAAUUGGUUUGCCUUGUGACAUUGAGAGUGGAGAAAAUAAACUCAUUCGUAUCUUUCUAUUUCUAAAAAUUUUGAAAUAAGUUAUAUAUGUACAUAGUAAAAAAUUGUAGAGGGGGUUAUAUAGUGAAGUGUUAAUUUCCUUUUAGGGGUUUAGAGAAGUCUAAAGAAUAUGCCAGGAAACUAAAGUUAUUUCUAUUACUCUUCUCAUGAUUCCAAAGCCAGUGCCUAUCAGGAUAGAUGCCCUUUCAUUUGGUAUGAAGGAAAGGAUUUAAAAAAAAAAAAAAAAAAAAGGAGAAGAAAGGAUAGCCUUCCCUCACUAUUUUUGACGAAUACACAUUUUAUAGACAGCAUUCAGUUCAGUAUUUCUGUCUUCAUAAGUGACAUAGUUGAAAGAACACUGGACUAAAGAGCUAGAGUCUGUUCCCAGCAAUCUUAUUUAUUAGCUAUGUGAUCUGGAAUAAAUCACCCUUGAACUUGGUAUUCUACUGUAAAAAAAAAACUAAUAGUACCUAUUUCACAGAACUGACCAUUAGGAUGAAAUGAGAAAAUGUACCUGAACAUGCAGACCAGUUUUACAAAUGUUAGUGCUUAUUAUAAUUAGAAAACAAUCAUUAGCUCUUUUUUAAAAAGCUGAAAAAAGAAAACUCUGCUCAAACUAUAGAGAAAUUUAUUCUAUCAAUUAUCAUUAUUCAUUCUAGUAAUGAGUACUCUUUGGUCCAUUUCACUUAAGUAUAAAACUAUAGAUUCACAAAUACAUGUGACAGUGUGUGUGUGUACUGUAAGUGGCAGGGACUUUCAUAUUAUGGUAUUCAGUUGGUAAUUGUACAGGACUUCAGAAGUCAGUCUUUAUUCAUCCAUCAACAUUCACUGAGCAGCUACUGUGUGCCGGGUACUUAGCUAGACAUCGAGGAGACAAAAAACAAUCACUGUUGGAUGGUGUGUGCGGCAGAGCCCUGGAGAGGUGGGAGGGGGAACACUAGCAGCAAACAGAUGAUUCCAGGGGUGUGUGAGUGCUGGAACCAGGUAAGCCCAGGGUGCUUCUGAGCACUCAGGAGGGACCCAGGCUGGGGCGGGGGGUGGAACUAAGACAUUAGAAGAAAAACCUGCUCAGAAUAGAGAGGGUUUCACCUUGUUUGGGUGGAAACUGGGAGUAGAAACCUUGGAGAAUGAGUGUUUUGGGUGAUUGCCCUUGAAAAAAAGGUGGGAGAGGGAUCUUGCUCCUUCUUGGACAGGUACAGAGAGCAAGACAUAUCUGUCUAGGGUGUUCACUGUGAUUCCCACUCCCUCCACCCUCCCAGGGGCCUGUGAAAACUAUUGGGGCUUCAGAGAUAGGCAGACCUGGAUCCACGUCUUGAAUCCAUCACUUACUGGCUGAAUGGCUCUGGGCAAGUUAUUUGGCCUCUUUAAGCUUCAGCCUCCUCAUCCAUAAAAAGAAGAUGACAAUUCCUAUCCCAUAAGACUACUAUGAAAAUUAGAUAAGAAAAGUGCUGAGCAUAUGUUUUUGCACCAAGUUAGAACAAUAAUUGGCAGGGAGUUUUUCUUUUUUUCUUUUUUGUUUGUUUUUAUCUGUUAUGUAUAUAGUAUAUUAGUAGUGCUUUCAGAGUGAGGCAGUCAGAAAGCCUUCACUCAAAUCCCCGUUGGCUCUACCACAGCUAGCGAUGGGAUUUUUGGCAAGUGAUUUAACCUCUCUAAGCCUCGGUUCUCAUAUCUAUAAAGUGCAAUAAUAAUAAAUAAUACCUACUCCCUAGGGUUGUGGUGAGGAUAAAACAAUCAAUGUAAAGUACUUAACACAGUGCCCAGCAUCUGAAUAUCCUUCAAUAAAUCUUAAUUGUUUGCUA